AUUGAACGCUGGCGGCAGGCCUAACACAUGCAAGUCGAGCGGAGCGGCGGACGUGUGAGUCAUGCCUAGGACUCUGCCUGUUCGUGGUGGAUAACGUCCGGAAACGGGCGCUAAUACCACAUACUCUCACAUUAGCCUAGGUCGGAUUAGCUAGUUGGUGGGGUAAAGGCCUACCCAGGCGACGAUCCGUACCUGGUCUGAGAGGAUGAUCCGUCACACUGGAACCGAGACACGGUCCAGACUCCUACGGGAGGCAGCAGUGGGGAAUAUUGGACAAUGGGCGAAAGCCUGAUCCAGCCAUGCCGCGUGUGUGAAGAAGGUCUUCGGAUUGUAAAGCACUUUAAGUUGGGAGGCGUUACCAACAGAAGAAGCACCGGCUAACUUCGUGCCAGCAGCCGCGGUAAUAC
rnacentral:rRNA from 1 species